GUCGUUUGGCCCACAACGGGUUACCGUUCGUGAGUGCCUUACUUGACUUGGCUUUCCUUCUAGUCUGGUUUCUUGCGCUGCUUCAUUGCGGCCAAGUUGCUACUAUAGACUAGAUCUUUUACUUUGAAAAAAUUAGAGUGUUUCAAGCAGGCUUUAUGCUAUGAAUACAUUAGCAUGGAAUAAUAAUUUAGGACUUCGGUUCUAUUUUGUUGGUUUCUAGGACUGAAGUAAUGAUUGAUAGGGAUAGUUGGGGGUGCUAGUAUUCAGCGGCCAGAGGUGAAAUUCUCGGAUUCGCUGAAGACUAACUUAUGCGAAAGCAUU
rnacentral:rRNA from 1 species